AUUGAACGCUGGCGGCAUGCUUUACACAUGCAAGUCGAACGGCAGCGCGGGCUUCGGCCUGGCGGCGAGUGGCGAACGGGUGAGUAAUGCAUCGGAACGUGCCCAGUAGUGGGGGAUAGCCCGGCGAAAGCCGGAUUAAUACCGCAUACGACCUGAGGGUGAAAGCGGGGGACCGAAAGGCCUCGCGCUAUUGGAGCGGUCGAUGUCGGAUUAGCUAGGUGGUGGGGUAAAGGCUUACCAAGGCGACGAUCCGUAGCUGGUCUGAGAGGACGACCAGCCACACUGGGACUGAGACACGGCCCAGACUCCUACGGGAGGCAGCAGUGGGGAAUUUUGGACAAUGGGGGCAACCCUGAUCCAGCCAUGCCGCGUGCGGGAAGAAGGCCUUCGGGUUGUAAACCGCUUUUGUUCGGGAAGAAAUCCUCUGGGCUAAUACCCCGGGGGGAUGACGGUACCGGAAGAAUAAGCACCGGCUAACUACGUG
rnacentral:rRNA from 1 species